AUAUAUAUAUAUAUAUAUAUAUAUAUAUAUCACAGGUAACACACCUCUGGAGCCACUAGGGGUUAAGUGUCUUGCUCAGGGACACACUGGUUGAUGUAUCGUAGUGGGAAUUGAACCCAGAUCUCCCACACCAAAGGCAUGUG